GCCUAAAGCGUCCGUAGCCGGCUCUGUAAGUUUUCGGUUAAAUCCAUAUGCUCAACAUAUGGGCCGCCGGGAAUACUGCAUAGCUAGGGAGUGGGAGAGGUAGACGGUACUCCGUAGGAAGGGGUAAAAUCCUUUGAUCUAUGGAUGACCACCUGUGGCGAAGGCGGUCUACCAGAACACGUUCGACGGUGAGGGAUGAAAGCUGGGGGAGCAAACCGGAUUAGAUACCCGGGUAGUCCCAGCUGUAAACUAUGCAAACUCAGUGAUGCAUUGGCUUGUGGCCAGUGCAGUGCCGCAGAGAAGUCGUUAAGUUUGCCGCCUGGGAAGUACGUACGCAAGUAUGAAACUUAAAGGAAUUGGCGGGGGAGCACCACAAGGGGUGAAGCCUGCGGUUUAAUUGGAGUCAACGCCAGAAAUCUUACCCGGAGAGACAGCAGAAUGAAGGUCAAGCUGAAGACUUUACCAGACAAGCUGAGAAGUGGUGCAUGGCCGUCGCCAGCUCGUGCCGUGAGGUGUCCUGUUAAGUCAGGUAACGAGCGAGAUCCCUGCCUCUAGUUGCCACCAUUACUCUCAGGAGUAGUGGGGCGAAUUAGCGGGACUGCCGCAGUUAAUGCGGAGGAAGGAGGGGGCCACGGCAGGUCAGUAUGCCCCGAA
rnacentral:rRNA from 1 species